UUGUUUAGACAAAUUAUGCAGCCAGAUCAUCCUCCUAUAGUUUUCAAAUUCUGACCAGGACCUACCUCAGCUUUUACGUACAACCUGUCCUGGGAGUACACAUACCAUCAGUUCCUACAUUAUCAUCACUGUCUCUCAAAUCAUGCCUUGGAGGCUUUCUUUGAGCUGUUUGCUACAAACAUGUGCUGAAUCUGUUCUACCUGACACAACCUGGUGCUGGACAGAUAUGCACUCCUGGGGCAGCACCAAUAUAAGAUACUAUAUACCCACAGUGGGGGCAUCUUACAGGUGUCAGUGAAAAAGUCUGCAAAUGCUCUUUUGUGAUUCCUAAUAUGUCAGCAAGUAUGCAAAGUAUUUUAGAUGCAUCAUUCAAUUUAAUCCCCACAACAACAUGUGACCAGGUAUUAUUAUCUCUGCUUCAAACAUAAAGAAAGUGAGGCUCGGAGAGGUAAAUAGUGUGAUCCAGACGCCAGGCCACCCCACAGCAGAGUGUCCCACUCUAAGUCACCCAUCACCUCCCCAACUCACACAUGUGACAAAAGCUUGUAGACUCUUCUGGGUCUUGCUCUUCUUUUCUGCAGAACACUUUAGCCAAAACUGAGCCCUGCAUGUACCCACCUCCUGAUUGAGACUCAGACACUCCUGGGCAAGACAGGGGACUGGGGCGUGGAGUGGGGCAGGAAGCCUAGAGGCUUUUGUUCAUGGGUCUCCAUGGGGCAAGGGGCCUGGUGAAGGAGGCAUUUGUGCAGCUUCUGAGGUGGGGCAGCCAACACCGGGACAGGGAAGGCUGUGCCGUGCCUGUCCGCUACUGAUUCCCAAAACAGUCCUUUGGACUCAGCUCUGAACCAAUAAGCGAAGGGCUGAGGCCCCAGAGGAAGCAGCUGUUUUCCAAGUUCAGGAAGGACUCUGAGUGAAGAGGUUGGCAGAAGGAGAAGGGUGGGUAGGAAAAGAGGCUCUGAUGCCUAAACUCCAGUUCACACGGAGAAAACGUAGUCUACAGGCAAGAAGACCCCCUUUUAUUGACCUCAAAACCACAUUUCCCAAGAUAAUUAUAUGAACACAGUUUUUACUAGAGGAAAAGAAAUAAUUUUUCCUCAGAACAACACUGGAGUUAAACUUGUAAAGUAUAUUCAAGUCUUCCUUUAUUACUUCAUGAGGAAGUUAUUCCAAAGAGCUCAGGAAGGUACUAGUAAAAUCCAUAAAAGUAACACAAUAAAUAUAUUUUGGUAUUUACCUGGUAAAGAGUUCCUCUCUUUUUCCUAUCACAAUAUUUUUCAAACCUGAUUUUUUUAAAAAGUUAACUUCACCAACUUCACAAGGCAAAACAAUUGUUCAGAUUGUUCAUGAGUUCCCAGCUUUCAAUAUCUGUCACCUGAGUAAUAGAAUUUUUCCUGAGAAACAUUUCCAAAAUGCAUCCUCCCAAAUAUAUCUGUCACUUUCCCUGGAAGAAAAAGCAAUCAAGUGAUUUUUUUUUUCUUAAGUUUUUUUCUUUCAAAGUCUUUCCUUAAGUCUUUUUCCAAACCAAAAACAAAAAACAAAAAAACAAACAAAAAAAAAAAACUACUUAAAACUGUUUUCUAUAAAAUCAGUGACUACAUUUGCACUUUGCCUUAAAACAAAACAGUUCAAUCAAAUCAGAAGUAACAGGUGAAGAGAAAGGAAUUUUGUAUAAGGACAAUGCUUCAAUAAGCAGCAUGCAAGUGGUUCUUACAGGGAUUAAGCAGUAGGACAAGUGGCUUGCCCCAUGCAAAAUGUCUUAAUUCACAGGCCUUGUUUGGUUUGCUUAAUCCAACUUUGAGCCACCUGAUCGGGUCACACAAAUGCUUUUUCAGGAGUUUGGCCACCAAUCACUCACUCAAUUGAACGGUUUCAACGAUCCCUUGUCACAAACCAAAGAAAUUCUUCCUUAAUGCUAAAAUGAAAGCAUUGCCUCAAUAGCCUCCAGGCAUCCCCUCACCAAAUUCACUCCCACACAAACUGCAAAUCAAUUCAAUGAUUUUAUUGACAUUUGUCUUUCCACCGUUUUUUGUUUUUUUUCCCAGUCAAGAAUACUUGAGAGUAGAAGACUGUAUAUGUUAAGGUCAAUGCACAAAGGACCCUAAAUAACUAUUUUCUUUAUUGUCAUGGUUCAGGAGGGGUGGGAGAGGCAGUGCUGUGGCCGAGCAUCCGGGCAGUUCAAUGUCCAAUGUGUAAGCCCAAGCUGGUCACAGAGGCACAGCCAGAGCCAGAGGAGGGAUGGGUCAGAGAAAAGCUGAGCCAAAACAAAUUAACAGACCACGGGGCCACCCGAGGAUGGGGAGCAGUCACUCUAGGGAGGAGGGUUAGCACACAGGAUGGAGACAAUGCAAGGUGCGAGGGAGGGAGGGCUUGCUGGGUGGAAGCUCUGCGUUGAUGUGUGACACCAGAGGCGCUGGGCUUGGUAUCUGUCUAACUUUGUCACUCAUUACAAGGGAGAAUAUUGUCCCAAAAAGUAUUUCAUUCAGGUUAUGAUUCUGAGAUAAACAGAAAGUAGCUUUCAUUCUCUUCUCCAUGAAAUCAGCAGAACCGUGAAUAGGGAACAUUUCAGGGCUGUUGCUGCUUCUCAGGAGCAGCUUCUGAGCAAAGGGUUUAUAAUAAUCACCCAGAUGAAGACCACUUGGUGGGCGCCAAGGAACACUGGCAACAGGACGGACCCAACCUUUCAAAAGGACAGUAAAGGAAAUGUAAGAAAAACCCACUUUCUUAUUUGAACACCUACCGGCUUCUCCUUCUGUCAUAUUUCAUUACAGUCUGGCAGACCAGUCUGGCCAGCAAACAAUUUCUUCUCUAGAGUUUCCAGUCUAAUUUGUAGGCAAAUCUCUCCUUCCCCUCAAAGUGAAAUACAAUACCUUUCUGUGAUGAGAGGGAAUUUGUUCCAUCUAUGCCCCAAUUAACGGCUGUGAUUCCCCAUCCAGUUUUCCCUGUUGCUCGCUGGAACACUCCCAAGUGGGAAGGGCCUCUCCCUCCAGGAUCCCUUUAAUAAGCCCCAUCAUCGGAGCACAAACUGGGAAAGCCAAGGCGAAUCGGGGUGGCACCCGUAGUGUGGAGUAAGUCAUGCUUGAGUUGUUCUGUACAAACCACAUGCUUCCACAUCGUAUCCAAUGUUUCCUUACCAUCUGAAAUUACAUCAAGCUGGGAUUUGGUUUGAAUUAAAAGGGAGGGGUCUUUUUGAGGGAAGGGGCCCUUGAACUGAUGCUGGAAUAGUUGGGGCCACCCGCUGGGAGAGCCUCUGAAAACUGGACUCAUAAAGCCAAGUCACUCCUCUCCACCCUGAGCGAACAAAAGCUCCCAAUCAGCUCAGCUCUUCAUUCCCACCUAUACCCACUCAUCCAUGGGAGAUGCCUUCUUUGUGUCGGAGCCUGUGAAAGGAAAUAAGGAUGCAAAGAUCAGCAGGCCACGGCUCCAGAGGGAGGACACUUCACCCUUUGGAGAGGGGUGGGCAGCCAAAGGCUUCCUAGAGAAGGGGACACUUGAGCUGAGCCCAAGAGAUGACAGUGAUGGGAGAGGAGCGUCUGUCUCACUGUGCCUCCCUCCCUCUCUGUGCAGCAGUCACAUCCCACGUCUCCGCUUCCCUCUAACCCACAGCUCCUACUCUAUGGGCUGCUGUUCCUCUUCCGGUGCUCUUCCUUCACCCAGGUCACUGCUGCUCUUCCUUCUGUGUCAGGGCCACAGUCACCCCCCUCAGAGAAGCCUUCCCAGCUUUCCAACCAGAUCAUGUUCCUGCAGGUUACAGGGGUUGCAUCACUCAUGUCCUUCACCUUGGCAUCCCCCAUCAGAGCAGUCGUUUCACAGCUGCCUGUAGGAUUCCUCCAUUAAAGUCUAUUUCCUCCACUUGACUGUAACCCCAUGAGGAUAAGGAUGGGUUUCUGUCUGCCUUCCCAUUGGACCCCCACCACCAAGCAUGGUGCCCACUGAUAUUUGUGGGAUGAAUGACAAUGACCGAAAAGACAAAUAGAUGAGUGAGCACCUGGGAGGCGUGAGUCCUUCGUGAAUAGAGGAAAAGGGUGUGUGUGGUGGGUAGGGGACACUGGAAGGAAGCCAGGGAGUGUGUGGGGAAGUGGGGUGCGUCAAAAAAAGUGAAUUUGAAUUUGAUACUGAAAGCUGUGGGGAUUCACCGAAAAAAAGGAGGCAAAAGGCUGCCUGAAACAUCCAACACACAGACGACCCUAAGUGGGCUCAAGCUUUUAGAGCCUCAGAGAGAGAACUAGUGAGGAGAGAGACUGUGUCUCUGACUGACACCAGGGGAAACACUGCGGUUUAGUAAAAUCCAAUCGAGUUUGCUCAACAGGCAGUAAAUGCAAUUCGCUAUGAACCACAAUUAUAUAUGUUUUGUUUUUUUACUCAAAAAAUUUCCCCAGAAGAAUCAAUUAAGCUCUGAUUUUAAAAAACAAAACAGCAUUUCAGUGUGCACACUUUAAAGUUCUUUUAUCUACUCUUCUCACCUCAUUUAUCUUUUGUUCUAUUUCAAUUUGAAUGAAAUCCUCCACAUAUGCACACAUCAAAUGGAUUUGCUGUUGAAGCAGUUUUUUUCACAUAAAUUUGUUUCUCUUUGCUUAACCGUACCAUUUCUGUGUGUUUUAAUCAUUAUUUGGCAAGAGGUUUUCAGAUGUAAUUAAAAGCAGCUAAUCACAUCAAAAAUUUAAAUGGAAAGGUUUAUAAACCUGUGGCACAUUACAAAAAAAUAUGUAAGCAAUAUCAAUGUGAGAACUGCUCCAGGUUUCACAAAAGAGAACAAGUACUGGAUGAACGGUCUUGAAAUAUAAACUGUUGAACAGAGAAGGCCCAAAUCUCAAAUUAGCCUUUUAAAGUCUUCUAAAUAUUUACACAGCAAUAAAAUACAGAGGAGUUUUAGAGGAACUCAGAGGUAACCACAGUAGCAAGUGUAAUUGUUGAAGUUUAAUUUGCUGAUAAUAUAAGAUAGAUUGUAUUUGUUUAAGGAGGUUCAGCUGAAUACAUGGUUUCACAGAAAUGCAGUUUUAACACUGUAUAAGGAUAUGUCACCAAUCACUUGACCUGUGAGGUUUAAGUACCUUGUUUCUGAUAAAGCUUAAUGGUUAUGUUUGAAAAUAUGUGAAAGGUAAAGAAGCAAAAAAAGUAGUGUCCUUUGAGCUCCUACUGUGUGGCAAGCAUCACACCAAAAGCUUGACGAAUUUUUGGCCCAGCCUAUUCAGCACAAUAAUGGGCUGUGUGAGGUGUUUUUCACUCUUUUUACAUAUGAUAAGAACCAAAAUUCAGAUAGGGCAUCUCAUUGCCUAAGGUCACACAGCAAGCCAGUGGCGGAGCCAGGCAAAUUAACAAAGGAAACAAAGAUUAAUUCUGGAAUCCCUAAAGAGAGCUGACACAGGAGCAUUCAAGCAAAAACCGGCAAGGAGCCAUGCACAGGAUUUAAGAGUAAUUAUGAUCAUUAUACAACUACAGAUGUGAUAAAUUCAUUUGAGUAAUAAAAAAAUUUAAAAAAAAGAACUUGGCAUAUGGUAAAAAAAAAAAGAGUAAUUAUGUAAAUGACAUUCUUCGGCUUUGGAAACUACCCCUAAUUUACACAAAAUGCAUAUUUUCCUUGUGCCUUUCCCCUUGUACAACCUCUAUUGCACUAAGUCCUUGUGGUCAGUGCCAAUUUUGCUCCUUGUGCACAAACUCUAUCCAGCAGGUUACACAAAAGAAAACAACAACUCGGUUCAACGCCCUCCCCUGCCUUGGACCCCAGCCCCAUCUCAACCACCAAUGGAAGAGCUGGGAGGCCUCCCCUGCUUGCUCCUGGCACUCUGGCCCACCACUGCCAACAUCUGUUACACCGAAUUUUACUUAGUUAUCUGUUUCCCUCCUGUUCUGAGGGCAGGGAAGAGUAUUUUCUCUUAAUUUCACUUUCCCAUUGUGUGUUGCUAGCAUAUAGAAACAUUAUUGGCUCCUUGUAUUUAUAUUCCUGUAUCUGUAACUGUUAAUUUAUUCUAGUAGCUUUCCUUGUGUUAUCUAUGAAUGGAGACAGUUUUAUUUAUUCCUUUCCAAUUUCUGUGCCCCCAUCACUACUCUGUUUUAUUUUUUGUUUUUGCUUUUUGCCUUAGUGCACUAAAAAGAACCUCCAGUAAAAUGUCAAACAGAAAUAGUGACAACAGACACAUUUCCACUUAAUUUCUAGUCUUAAGAAAAAAAUUGUUUCACUACUAAGUGUAAUGUUAGUACAUAGAUGCCUUUCACUGUGCUGAGGAAGUUCCUUUCUAUUCCUAGUUUGCUAAAAAUUUUUAACCAAUAGUAGGUAUUGAAUUUUAUCAAAUACUACUGCUGCACCUAUUGAGAUAAUCUCCUAU
ensembl:lncRNA